CGGUACGGGUGAGUACACGCGAGAGAAUCUGCCUUCAGGUCUGGGACAACAGAAGGAAACUUCUGCUAAUCCCGGAUGAGCCUAAUGGUAAAAGAUAAAUUGCCUGGAGAUGAGCUCGCGUCUGAUUAGCUAGUUGGUGAGGAUAAAAGCUUACCAAGGCAACGAUCAGUAGCUGGUCUGAGAGGAUGAGCAGCCACACUGGGACUGAGACACGGCCCAGACUCCUACGGGAGGCAGCAGUGGGGAAUUUUCCGCAAUGGGCGAAAGCCUGACGGAGCAAGACCGCGUGGGGGAGGAAGGCUUUUAGGGUUGUAAACCCCUUUUCUUUGGGAAGAAGUUCUGACGGUACCAAAGGAAUCAGCCUCGGCUAACUCCGUGCCAGCAGCCGCGGUAAUACGGAGGAGGCAAGCGUUAUCCGGAAUGAUUGGGCGUAAAGCGUCCGCAGGUGGCCAUGUAAGUCUUGCUGUCAAGAACCCAGGGCUCAACUCUGGUCAGGCAGUGGAAACUACAAAGCUAGAGUCUGGUAGGGGCAAAGGGAAUUCCCGGCGUAGCGGUGAAAUGCGUAGAUUUCGGGAAGAACAUCGGUGGCGAAAGCGCUUUGCUAGACCAGAACUGACACUCAGGGACAAAAGCUAGGGGACG
rnacentral:rRNA from 1 species